rnacentral:sRNA from 1 species
UCAUGAUGGUUUUCUUGCCCGGGGGGGGU